rnacentral:rRNA from 1 species
GAUGAACGCUGGCGGCGUGCUUAAUACAUGAUCAGCGAACGAGGUGCUUUUGUAGCAAUACGGAAGUAUCCUAGUGGCGAACGGGUGAGUAACGCGUUGGUGACCGGCCCCAAAGUGUGGAAUAUCAGAUCGUAAGGUUUGCUAUUACUGCAUGUGGUUGUCGGAUUUAGAAACCGGUGACUAAAGCAGUAAUGCGCUUUGGGAGGGACCUGCGUCCAUCAGCUAGUUGGUGAGGUAACGGCUCACCAAGGCGUCGACGGGUAAGGGACCUGAGAGGGUGGUCCCUCACAAUGGCACUGAAACACGGGCCAUACACCUACGGGUGGCAGCAGUAGGGAAUAUUGGGCAAUGGGCGAAAGCCUGACCCAGCAACGCCGCGUGUACGAUGAAGGCCUUCGGGUCGUAAAGUACUUUUCUGGGAGAUGAGAAAGGACAGUAUCCCAGGAAUAAGCUUCGGCUAACUACGUGCCAGCAGCCGCGGUAAAACGUAGGAAGCGAGCGUUAUCCGGAUUUACUGGGCGUAAAGCGCGUGUAGGCGGUUUGAUAAGUUGGAUGUGAAAUCUCCUGGCUCAACUGGGAGGGGUCGUUCAAAACUAUCAGACUUGAGGACAGUAGAGGAAGGUGGAAUUCCCGGUGUAGUGGUGAAAUGCGUAGAUAUCGGGAGGAACACCAGUGGCGAAAGCGGCCUUCUGGACUGUAUCUGACGCUCAGACGCGAAAGCUAGGGGAGCGAACGGGAUUAGAAACCCCGGUAGUCCUAGCUGUAAACGAUGUAGACUUGGCGUCGGUGGGGUAAAAGCCAUCGGUGCCGAAGCUAACGCGAUAAGUCUACCGCCUGGGGACUACGGCCGCAAGGUUAAAACUCAAAGGAAUUGACGGGGGCCCGCACAAGCAGCGGAGCGUGUGGUUUAAUUCGAUGCUACGCGAAGAACCUUACCCGGGUUUGACAUACAGGUGGUAGGGAACCGAAAGGUGACCGACCCUUCGGGGAGCCUGCACAGGUGCUGCAUGGCUGUCGUCAGCUCGUGUCGUGAGAUGUCCGGUUAAGUCCGGUAACGAGCGCAACCCUCGCCGUAUGUUACAAGUGUCAUACGGGACUGCCGGUAUCAAGCCGGAGGAAGGUGGGGAUGACGUCAAGUCAGCAUGGCCUUUAUAUCUGGGGCUACACACACGCUACAAUGGCCGGUACAAUGGGUUGCUAAGCCGCGAGGUAGAGCCAAUCCCCAAAGCCGGCCUCAGUUCAGAUCACAGGCUGAAACCCGCCUGUGUGAAGUCGGAGUUGCUAGUAAACGCGCGUCAGCUAUAGUGCGUUGAAUACGUUCUCGG